GACGAACGCUGUCGGCGUGCUUAACACAUGCAAGUCGAACGGAAAGGCCCUGCUUUUGUGGGGUGCUCGAGUGGCGAACGGGUGAGUAACACGUGAGUAACCUGCCCUUGACUUUGGGAUAACUUCAGGAAACUGGGGCUAAUACCGGAUAGGAGCUCCUGCUGCAUGGUGGGGGUUGGAAAGUUUCGGCGGUUGGGGAUGGACUCGCGGCUUAUCAGCUUGUUGGUGGGGUAGUGGCUUACCAAGGCUUUGACGGGUAGCCGGCCUGAGAGGGUGACCGGCCACAUUGGGACUGAGAUACGGCCCAGACUCCUACGGGAGGCAGCAGUGGGGAAUAUUGCACAAUGGGCGGAAGCCUGAUGCAGCAACGCCGCGUGCGGGAUGACAGCCUUCGGGUUGUAAACCGCUUUCGCCUGUGACGAAGCGUGAGUGACGGUAAUGGGUAAAGAAGCACCGGCUAACUACGUGCCAGCAGCCGCGGUGAUACGUAGGGUGCGAGCGUUGUCCGGAUUUAUUGGGCGUAAAGGGCUCGUAGGUGGUUGAUCGCGUCGGAAGUGUAAUCUUGGGGCUUAACCCUGAGCGUGCUUUCGAUACGGGUUGACUUGAGGAAGGUAGGGGAGAAUGGAAUUCCUGGUGGAGCGGUGGAAUGCGCAGAUAUCAGGAGGAACACCAGUGGCGAAGGCGGUUCUCUGGGCCUUUCCUGACGCUGAGGAGCGAAAGCGUGGGGAGCGAACAGGCUUAGAUACCCUGGUAGUCCACGCUGUAAACGGUGGGUACUAGGUGUGGGGUCCAUUCCACGGGUUCCGUGCCGUAGCUAACGCUUUAAGUACCCCGCCUGGGGAGUACGGCCGCAAGGCUAAAACUCAAAGGAAUUGACGGGGCCCCGCACAAGCGGCGGAGCAUGCGGAUUAAUUCGAUGCAACGCGUAGAACCUUACCUGGGUUUGACAUGGAUCGGGAGUGCUCAGAGAUGGGUGUGCCUCUUUUGGGGUCGGUUCACAGGUGGUGCAUGGCUGUCGUCAGCUCGUGUCGUGAGAUGUUGGGUUAAGUCCCGCAACGAGCGCAACCCUUGUUCACUGUUGCCAGCACGUUAUGGUGGGGACUCAGUGGAGACCGCCGGGGUAAACUCGGAGGAAGGUGGGGAUGACGUCAAGUCAUCAUGCCCCUUAUGUCCAGGGCUUCACGCAUGCUACAAUGGCUGGUACAGAGAGUGGCGAGCCUGUGAGGGUGAGCGAAUCUCGGAAAGCCGGUCUCAGUUCGGAUUGGGGUCUGCAACUCGACCUCAUGAAGUCGGAGUCGCUAGUAAUCGCAGAUCAGCAACGCUGCGGUGAAUACGUUCCCGGGGCU
rnacentral:rRNA from 1 species